rnacentral:rRNA from 1 species
UGGGGAAUAUUGCACAAUGGGCGCAAGCCUGAUGCAGCCAUGCCGCGCGUAUGAAGAAGGCCUUCGGGCUGUAAAGUACUCUUAGCGGGGAGGAAGGGAGUAAAGUUAAUACCUUUGCUCAUUGACGUUACCCGCAGAAGAAGCACCGGCUAACUCCGUGCCAGCAGCCGCGGUAAUACGGAGGGUGCAAGCGUUAAUCGGAAUUACUGGGCGUAAAGCGCACGCAGGCGGUUUGUUAAGUCAGAUGUGAAAUCCCCGGGCUCAACCUGGGAACUGCAGCUGAUACUGGCAAGCUUGAGUCUCGUAGAGGGGGGUAGAAUGCCAGGUGUAGCGGUGAAAUGCGUAGAGAUCUGGGGGUAUACCGGUGGCGAAGGCGGCCCCCUGGACGAAGACUGACGCUCAGGUGCGAAAGCGGGGGUAGCAAACAGG